UCAUUUGAAAACACAGCUGUGGAUCUUCAGAUCUAGGAUUGUAGUUCAACACACUAGAAGUGCAACUACAGGAUUUAUUCUAGAACUCAAUCUUUGAGUUUUGUAUUUGAAGAACCAAAGUUAAAGUUCUCCAUUUUCCCCUUAUGUUUUCCUUUUCUAUUUCCCAUUUCUACAAAGGGAUGAGCCAAAAACCAAUGAACUCAAUGAAAGACAUCCAUUGAUUCCAGUGGGCUUUGGGUCAGGCCCUGUAUUACUUUCCAGUCUUUACCAGGUCAUCAGCAUAAAAACUGCAGAAGAUAGCUCUGAAAAUCCAGCUGGUUAAAUGGAAUGGAGAGGUGUGCAAUUGGCUGGCUGCUGAGCCCGAUUUGUAGGGAAAAUCAAACAUGCCCUCAAAAAUCUUCAGCAUCUAAGGAAGACAGACAAUCUUUGUUGGGCAUUCUCUAGUAAAAAGAAUGAGGAAGAACAUUCUGGGAGGGAGAACAGACAGACAACAGGAUGUCUUCUGGUGCCAUGAGAUGCCACUCUGAUAGGCUUCUGAAGUUGGCAAAGAUCCCCUGGUGCUGGUGCACAUUGGCACUAAUGAUACUGUCAUGGAAUAUCUCACCCAAUAUAUGGAAUUCAGAAGGGUGCUGAAGGAGAAGAAUGUCCAAGUAAUCAUCUCUGAGAUCCUUCCUGUUCUUGCAAGUGAAGGAAGAAAGAAGGCAGAAGAUUCUGAAAAUGAAUCCCUAGCUAGACUUCGUACUUACAUCUGCAUCAACGGGAUGAGAGAGGCUGGCCUGAAACUGACAAAAGCAGCUGAGGGGCAAUCAAAGUUCAGGCUGAAGCUCCUGCCUUGUUGUUGGACACGUGCACGUGCACAUGCACAUGCACAUGGACGAGAACAAAAGAAAACACAAGGUAACAGGUAUUAGCUUCAAUGGGAGUCACUCAUCAAGGGGAGAAGAGACCCAUGGAGGCCUAGAUGUUGACCACAUGUUGCAAAAGUCCAUUUUCUGUUUGAAGGCCCCCUAAGCAGAGCAGGUCACUUGAGAUUAUACCGUGCUGAUGGGCUAUGUAAGGAAGGAUAUUUUUGCAGUAUCAAUUCAGUUUCUAAAUUUUGUAGCCUUUAACAUUAUUUAAUGAAAUAUCCACUGGGAUAGUAAUGGCUUCAAGGAUUUUCCUGUAGUAAUCUGUAAUUAGGAAACUGUUUUGGACCCCUGGGUUCUCUCUGCCUCUGCCAUUGUCUAGCUGUGUGACCUUUGGCAAGUCACUUAGCCUCCUAACACCUAUAUUUUACCCAUUUGGAAAUUGGGGUUACCUUCAUCAGAAGUGGUUUGAGGUCUAACUAGUGUUUGUAAAGUGCUUUUGAGGAGGUCAGGAAAGAGGAAAUCUACACUAUGGUAGAUUCCUUUUU